rnacentral:ncRNA from 1 species
AAAGUUUGGUUCUGGCUUUAGUUUUGGUUGUGACUACUAGAAAUACAUGGAAUUUUUAGAAUAGAGUGAGGAUGAAUUUAUGUAAAAAUGUGAAAUUAAGUUUUGCUUGUUUAUGUAGAUUUUGAUAUUAUUUUUUAUAUAAUAUCUAGUUAAUUAUCACUUCACCAGUAUUGGAGAUUAAGAUUAUGUAGGAAACUAUGACUUAGGGAUUGGUUAAGAAGUUUGGAAAAAUUUGUGCCAGCCUCCGCGGUUAGACAAAUAAAGCUAAAUCAAAAUAUAACAGUUUAAAAGAUGGUUAGUUUAUUUGAUCAGAUGAAUUUAAUUAGUUUAAUAGGUUAAAUUAGGAGAAUUAGUUUUUAUUUUUCUUUGUCUGUAAAAUGAAGCCAUGAAAACUCUUACUAAAACCGGGAUUAGAUACCCCGUUAUUGGAGGAGUAAAUAUAAUAAUAUACUUGAGUAUUACGAGUUUAUAUCUUAAAACUCAAAGAACUUGGCGGUGCUUUAGACCCAGUCAGGGGAACCUGCCCCGUAAUCGAUAUUCCACGUAGGACCUAACUCUUUUUUGCAGAACAGUUUGUAUACCGUCGUUAUCAGGCAACUUUUUAGAAAAUAGAAGUUGGCGAGAUGAAUAUUUAUUCUGUAUGUCAGAUCAAGGUGCAGCUUAUAGAAGAGUGGAGGUGGGUUACUUUAAAGAAUUUUUUAUGGAUCUCUUUAUGAAAGAAAAGAGUGAAAGAGGACUUGAGAGUAAGUUUAAGAAAGAGUGUUAAACUGAACUAGGAUUUAAAGUGUGCACAAAUCGCCCGUCGCUCUCGUUGAAAAAUGAGAUAAGUCGUAACAUAGUAAAGGUACCGGAAGGUGUUUUUUAU